GCUGAUGUAGCUCAGGGGUAGAGCACUUCCUUGGUAAGGAAGAGGUCGAGGGUUCAAAUCCCUUCAUCAGCU
rnacentral:tRNA from 3 species